GUAACAAGGUCUCCGUUGGUGAACCAGCGGAGGGAUCAUUACCGAGUUUACAACUCCCAAACCCCUGUGAACAUACCACUUGUUGCCUCGGCGGAUCAGCCCGCUCCCGGUAAAACGGGACGGCCCGCCAGAGGACCCCUAAAACUCUGUUUCUAUAUGUAACUUCUGAGUAAAACCAUAAAUAAAUCAAAACUUUCAACAACGGAUCUCUUGGUUCUGGCAUCGAUGAAGAACGCAGCAAAAUGCGAUAAGUAAUGUGAAUUGCAGAAUUCAGUGAAUCAUCGAAUCUUUGAACGCACAUUGCGCCCGCCAGUAUUCUGGCGGGCAUGCCUGUUCGAGCGUCAUUUCAACCCUCAAGCACAGCUUGGUGUUGGGACUCGCGUUAAUUCGCGUUCCUCAAAUUGAUUGGCGGUCACGUCGAGCUUCCAUAGCGUAGUAGUAAAACCCUCGUUACUGGUAAUCGUCGCGGCCACGCCGUUAAACCCCAACUUCUGAAUGUUGACCUCGGAUCAGGUAGGAAUACCCGCUGAACUUAAGCAUAUCAA
rnacentral:rRNA from 1 species